rnacentral:rRNA from 1 species
AAUAGAUACCCCGGUAGUCCACGCCCUAAACGAUGCAUAUUUGGUGUGGGCAGUUCAUUCUGUCCGUGCCGGAGCUAACGCGUUAAAUAUGCCGCCUGGGGAGUACAGUCGCAAGGCUGAAACUCAAAGGAAUUGACGGGGGCCCGCACAAGCGGUGGAGCAUGUGGUUCAAUUCGACGCAACGCGAAGAACCUUACCUGGGCUCGAACGGCUGGUCAACGGGAGCGGAAACGUUUCUACCCCGCAAGGGGGUCCAGUCGAGGUGCUGCAUGGCUGUCGUCAGCUCGUGUCGUGAGAUGUUGGGUUAAGUCCCGCAACGAGCGCAACCCUUGUCCUGUGUUGCCAUCAUUCAGUUGGGAACUCGCAGGAGACCGCCAGGGAUAACCUGGAGGAAGGUGGGGAUGACGUCAAGUCCUCAUGGCCUUUAUGUCCAGGGCUACACACGUGCUACAAUGGACGGUACAAAGCGCAGCGAACUCGCGAGAGGGAGCCAAUCGCAAAAAACCGUUCUCAGUUCGGAUUGCAGG